UACAUUUUAAAUAUUAUAUUUAAUAUUAUUUGUUGUGUACACUGUUGCAGCCGAGCACAAGCUAACGUUAGCUAGCUAUCUUGCUAGCUAACGUUAGCUAACGUUAUUUAACUUGCUAGCUAAAACUGCUAACAGCAUGGACGAACUUGAUGACGUCACGGUGUCGACUUUAAGAGGAAACUGUAGACUCAAAAUCAACGAGCAGUUCUACUUCUAUGAUUGGGUCACCCCUAUCUCAGACAUCCACUCAAGUAAAAAGAUGUCCCGCAAAGCACACAACACCUGAAAAUGUUGUGAAGUUAUCCUUCCCCGAAUAUGUAUUGCACACUGACACCAAACUAGAGCAAUGCCGAAAACAAUAUUUUGAGUUGGCGAAGGCCGGCGAAGAGAGAAACUGCCAAAUGUCAAAGGACCUCAGAUGUCGGCUCAUCCGAAACACCAUGACCAGUAUGAUCGCAAUCCUGAGGGCAACGGGGGACAGAGACAGAUACCCGUCAAAGCCAGAAAUAACAGCUAUGGCAAAGCGAACAGUGCUGUACUACCCCAUGCUGCAGGACCGAGACCUGAGCAGCAAGUUACUGUGUACUCACAGCUAUACAAAAGAUUGAAAAAUUUGAGAUCACCCCAAAAGACCAAUCCAAAGAGGCGCCGACUCGAGGAGCUAAAGUGCCAACCUGACUGACCCAGAUGAAUUUGAUUCAAGUGACUCAACAGUCAUUCUGGAUCUCCCCUCAAAAGGGGGUAGCAUUCAAGCAUUCAAGACUUCCCUUCUGAAGGGAGUAGCACCCCAGACUCGGGCAACAAUGCCAGAUAUGCCCGCAUCUUUGCGUAAGAAGAAAACUCCAAACCGUGAGUCCGUCUCUCAGCUCCUGGAUUUGGAAUUUUCAGCCAGAAGAGCAUUCAUUGAUUCUUUUUGCGAGGAGGACAGACACAAGAAAAUUCCAGAGGACAUUGGACAUGUGAUGGAGGAGCUUCAACGCAUUCUGGACAAAAAUAACAUCCAUUACAUUGAUGAGCUGAAGGGAAGAUGGGACGACUUCUGCCAGAAGGUGCAGUUUUUUGGUGUGUGGAAAAAGCUGCUGAAACCCUCAGUAGGAAUGGACAAAGGCUCUCAGUAUCCUACGUGUGCUGCCUUCAUUGUCCCCCUCUUCAUCUGCUCCUCUGAAGAAGUUAGGACAUGUGAGUGAGGCUCUUGUGCAUGUCCUC
ensembl:lncRNA